rnacentral:rRNA from 1 species
CAAAUGACUCUCGGCAAUGGAUAUCUCGGCUCUUGCAUCGAUGAAGAACGUAGUGAAAUGUGAUACUUGGUGUGAAUUGCAGAAUCUCGUGAACCAUUGAGUCUUUGAACGCAAGUUGUGCCCGAGGCCUUGUGGUUGAGGGCACGCCUGCUUGGGCGUCAUGG